rnacentral:tRNA from 2 species
GCGUAGUUGGUUUAGUGGUAUAAUUCUCGCCUGCCACGCGGGAGACCUGGGUUCGAUUCCCAGACUACGCA